rnacentral:RNase_P_RNA from 1 species
GAAGUCGGUCAGGCAACCGCUGGGCGAAAGGUGAGCACUUCGGUGCAAGCCUGAGCCGAGAGGAAAGUCCGGGCUUCACAGAGCAGGAUGCCGGCUAACGGCCGGGCACCGUGAGGUGACGGAAAGUGCAACAGAGAACAGACCGCCUAAGUCCGGGGCAACCCGGGCCGGCAAGGGUGAAACGGCGCCCCGGCUAUAGCCGGGGCGGUCGGGCGCAAGCCCGGAGGUAAGAGCUCACCGCGGACGUGGUAACACGGACGGCACGGCAAACCCCAUCCGAAGCAAGGCCAAAUAGGGAAGCGCAUGGCGUGGCUCGCGCCGCUUCCGGGUAGGCUGCUUGAGCGUACUGGCAACAGUGCGCCUAGAGGAAUGGUUGUCCACGACAGAACCCGGCUUAACGACCGGCUUCCCCC